GUGAUAGUGGGUGUAACUGUAGGGAAAUGAACAACUGUGACUCAGCUAUUUCCUGUGAAGCCUCUGCAGCAGAAGGAGCUUUAGGAAAUCAGCUGACACAGGGGAGUGAGCUACGAGACACUCAGAGUUGGGUCUAGGAAGGUUUGACACAACAACUGACCGCUUCCAUUUGACUUUACCCUGGGUUGUACCCAUUUACCAAUUCAGCGUGAGGAAGGAUGAAGGAUUCGUGUGUCCCCGUAUGUUCUUGCUGGAGAGAUGAUAGUGCGGGACAUCUGGUGCCGAGAACCCGGGAUAGAAACACCACACCAUCGCAAGGCGCCGAGAGAGGAGUCCUCCAUCCGCGGAGGGAAUCCAGAACUGUAGUGAUUAAGGUAGGCUCUGAGAGACAUGUUUGGUCUUGAUCUGUUCCACUUCUCUCUCCCGCUAGAAGAUGCGGCGGAAGUUUUUAUUAUCGUUUUAGCAGCCUUUAUGCUUUCUCUAUUGGUUUUUGAAUUUUUGGCUGCUGCCAGACAGCGUCAGAGGUCGUAUGGGAGCCGCCCAGCUGUAAUAGCAGGGCAGAGAGUGCUAGGGGAGGUACAAGACGGCAUGUCAGAAACAGAGUGGGGUAAAAACUUAAAGAGCUCAAGGAGAAAAGAUAAAUAUAAGCAGACAAACCCUUCCAAAGACUUCAGACCUGAGGAAGCGAGAGAUUGGGGAAAAAAUGCCCCGGGAGAGAUGAAACAGAGAAAGGAGAAAAAAGUCUUGAAAAGGAGAAGUCUUUAUCUGGUAAAGGAAUUAAAGGCUUCAGAGCUUGAUAGCUCAGAGACAGACGAACUUGGCUCCUCUGAGGAAGAGGAUUUAGAAGAUGAGGCAGCUCGCUAUGAAGAAGAGCUUCACAGAGUCAUACUGAUCAGAUUUGAUAGAGGUAGACCGCCUGAAAUUUUAUUCAGGAGAAUCAAACAAAAGGACAUCUCAAUGCCCAUGCACACCUUGAUGGGGUUAAUGUAAUUGGGUUGUGAGUGGAAAUAUUCAGGACUGUGUUUCACUUCCAUACCAUUUGUGAAUGUCAGUUGUGCUGCUCAGAUAUCCCGUAAUAUAUCUCAGUAUCUUACAGGAACUUGGUUUCAACACGUUGAUGGACUAGUCCAGGAAUUGAGACAAUCCAUCGUCCAUAUCAACUCCACUCAAGUGGAUGGUCACCGUGGAAGUGGUGGGAAAGGGGAAAUCCUACCUCUCUGCUGACACCAUCUGGUUUUUUCCCUCUUUGUCUAUUGUCUGUCCUUGGUGCACCAAGCUGUCCGUGUAUGUCAGUUUAUGUCUGUGGUUUUUGUUUCUUGUUGCUUAAAUGUUUUAUGUUUCAUGUUCAAAAGAGAAAAUGGUAAAAACUUUAUCUGUCAAUCGUUCACAUCUUGAUUUGGUUUUAACUCGUUUCAAAAAGGAACAAAUGAAUAAAAAGCAGUUUCAAUCGGCCUUUAGAGCCCUACACCUGUAGCUAGGAGCAUAGGUCACCUGGAGAAGCUGCCCGGGGGUGAGCGCCUACAUGAGCUGAUCUUAAAGGCGCCAACAGCUCCUCAGCUUCUUUGGUACAAGAGCUGGUAGCUGUUUCUCUUAGAAAAAUCCCUGACUUAUUAUUUGACUCAACAGGUGACAAGGUGCUUCUCUUAAAAGCAUAGCUAAAAAGGUAAAAAUGGUGCUUGGUCUAAAUAUUAAAGAUAUGUGUAGCCACUUCAAUUUUGUUUCUCAUUGGUUUUAAAUGUAUAAAUAUGCUCUUCUUGCCUUGGUUAUGGACUAUUGGCUUUUAAGUUGUUGGAUAUGGUUAAAAAGGUAUAAUAUUGGUAACAGAAAGUUGACAUAAAACUGGUAAUUUGAAUGGAGUCAUUCUAGACAACAUGUGGCAUGAGCCAACCUAGGGAAACAGGUCUAAAUUGAGGUAAUAUUUUUAUGGAAUUCUUAUUCUAGAAACCAGGCUUCUAAAGAAUUUAGGACAAUGUCUCUUUGUUGAGGUACUGGAGACUACACCAUUGUGCGUUCAUAUGUAGGGAUUGGCAGGCAAACUUUGUAACAUGAAGGACAGACGCGGUGUCUUAGAGACUAGAUUUUAGAAGCUAGUUUGUUAGAAGUUGAGUUUUGCUUUCCAAAGUUGUGGUUUGCCUUAAAGUUAUCUGUGUUUUGAUGCUAAUUCCACUGCCCCAAGAACAGCUGCCUAGUCAGUACUCAGAACUCAGGUGACUUUCCAAAGUUGUGGUUGUGCUCUGGUGUUACAAGGAGAAGUUAAGGAUUGUGAUUAAGGAUUGCCAGUGUUACACUGACUAACUCAAACUUAUUUUUAAUUAAAAAAAAAAAUCAAACCGGUAGAGAUUGUUACAGGAUUUACAAAGGAUUGAUGGGGUUUUGGAACUUGUGAGAGCACUACAGCCAGUUUGUUUACUACAACAGCCAUUUCAAGAUAGAUUUAGAGGAUUGAUUGUGAGUUUUCAUUUCGUGAGCUUGCUUAUAAUUUUAGAGAGCCCAUAAAGUGAUAUCAUUAGGAAUGGCUAACAGGGGGUUGGGGAUUUAGCUCAGUGGUAGAGUGCUUGCCUAGGAAGCGCAAGGCCCUGGGUUCAGUCCCCAGCUCCGAAAAAAAGAACCAAAAAAAAAAAAAAAAAAAAAAGGAAUGGCUAACAGCCUUAUAUUAUGUAAUUUUGUCACUCAACGUAAGAAGUUAGAACUUUAAAUCCUUCAGUGUAUAUGGAAAUUUUUGCUACAAAUCUUUGCUCUCAAAAUGAGCUUUAAUAUUUGGGGAGUAGCUGUUACACUACUCCAGAAAAGAAUAUUUGAAACUAAUUUUAAGCUUCUAAGGAUAUGUUAAUUGGCUAAGUACCUCACCUUGCCAGAGGACUUAGGUCUUUGUUAUCCACAUUGGAGAUAAAGCUUCAGUUGUGUUAAUACAGAAUUGUAGGCUAGAGUCAUGGAAGUAUUUUAAAAAGAAACCUGGUAAAACAUAUCUUAUUCCAAACAACAGUUAAUUGGUUAUUACAAAAUACUGAUAUUUGGCCUAUGACAUAUAUAAAUUUUUCAGACAAAAUUGAUAAUUUUACUCUUUACAUGCUUUUGUAUUUACUGUAAAUUUGUACAUGCAACCCAUAGGAAAUGUGCUUACUGUAUUUAUAGGUGGUUCAUCUAAUGAAAAGGCUACAUGUAUGAUUGGAUCACUUGUUUAUUCUCUUGAGUUUCUGUUGCUUCAACACAGAUUAUUAAAUUCCAUGGCUUAGCCACUGUUUUUAUUUUUUUUUAUUUUAUUUUAUUUUAUUUUUUUAUUAUCUUGAGUAUUUCUUAUAUACAUUUCAAGUGUUAUUCCCUUUCCCGGUUUCCGGACAGACAUCACCCUCCCCC
ensembl:lncRNA